rnacentral:other from 1 species
UGUCCCCUGCGGUGUUCGUCAGGCCCAUAAUUCUUUGAACCAAUAAGCUAUGCUUAAGGCCGCGACCCUCAAUGUCACUGUUGUGCGCGUCCCUUGCGGACGUACCUGAUGUGACCGGGAAGUUGCCCACUUGAACCCAGGUUCAAGAUAUUGGGUCAACGGCACAGGCGGGGGGCUU